AACGAUUACCCCCAUUUUUGUUAACUUCUCGUACUAAUGUUAUUAUUUGACUAUUCCUCUCCUGUUCCAGACCGAGAAGAAAUUGAUGGGCGUGGGCCAGCCUCAUCCUAUGGUGGAAGGGUUUAAGACGAAGAGAUUAUUUUGAGUCACAUCAUGAUGAUAGUAAUGUGUCAAGAAGUUGUCGAACUUAAGAAGGCAUGCAUGAUGCCUUGUGGUCGUAUACUGGCUGUUGUCUAUUGUCAGUUUUCUGCAACUAUGUGAGUUCCCAAGUUCUGAAAUCGAGUCUGCUUGGUUGAGCACGUUUGACGCGCUCAUAUGAAGUCAUAAUAACUAUAUGGUUGGUGUAGCUGCAAUCUGCUACUUUGCAGAUUUUACAAUGAAGUUGCUACUGUCAUUCUAGUUUGCUCCUCUUUACUGCUACUGCUACUCUGCUAGGGCAUGUCUUUAUUUGCCGCCCGCCGUCAGGCAGGUUGGGAUGGAUGGAUCUUGCCUGCUUCGUAAUAAAAUUGGGUUUUGAUCAAACCCAUAGAUACUUCUCUGGCGAUGACCCAUAAAUUGCCUUUGGGAAUUUCGCUUCAUGGUAUUGCAGAAGCAGUGAAAAAAAAAUCACGUUCCACACAACCAAGUCAAAGGUGGCGACUUGCAAGAUUUGGCUAUUUCUAAUCCAAUGACUAAGAUGGUGUCCAUAAUAUUAAAUAAGUUGUCACCAAAAUGAUGUGGUAAGUGAAUAAAUAAGAAAAGAGAAUGAAACCAUGUCUUGCAUAAGACAUGGUUUCUACACAACAUCCAAGAUAUCAUGUGAGAUAAGUAAUAUUAAAUUAAAGUAUGGAAUAGUGGUGUUUGCAUUGGAAGGGUAGUGUGUAGUACUAGUUUCUUGAUGAUGUGGAGUUUAUGAAAACUAUAUCUAGUGUUAUAGGUUGUUUCUUGAUGAUGGGGAGUUUAUGACAACUAUAUCUAAUGUUACGGGUUGAGAAUGGCUUAAUGCUUUCCAUGUAGCUGAUCAGAAGUUGGAAUCGAGGUUUGAGGCAUCACAAAAGUCACGCAUGGAUGGGCCACCAUGUUAUUCUCAACGAGCAAAGGCCCACGGAAUAUAACCAAACAGUCCACAUGGGG
rnacentral:lncRNA from 1 species